GAUGAACGCUGGCGGCGUGCUUAACACAUGCAAGUCGAACGAUGAAGCCCAGCUUGCUGGGUGGAUUAGUGGCGAACGGGUGAGUAACACGUGAGUAACCUGCCCUUCACUCUAGGAUAAGCCCGGGAAACUGGGCCUAAUACUGGAUAGGAACGUCUACCGCAUGGUGGGUGUUGGAAAGAAUUUCGGUCAUGGAUGGACUCGCGGCCUAUCAGCUUGUUGGUGAGGUAAUGGCUCACCAAGGCGACGACGGGUAGCCGGCCUGAGAGGGUGACCGGCCACACUGGGACUGAGACACGGCCCAGACUCCUACGGGAGGCAGCAGUGGGGAAUAUUGCACAAUGGGCGAAAGCCUGAUGCAGCGACGCCGCGUGAGGGAUGACGGCCUUCGGGUUGUAAACCUCUUUCAGUAGGGAAGAAGCGAAAGUGACGGUACCUGCAGAAGAAGCACCGGCUAACUACGUG
rnacentral:rRNA from 1 species